rnacentral:snRNA from 9 species
AUACUUACCUGGACAGGGUCUACGAGCGAUCAACAAGGCUCGUGGCCUAGAUCAAUGGCUUACAUUGCACUUAGUGAAUGCGUUGGUCUACCAUCUUUCUAAGUGAAAGAAUGUCUAUCAAGAAUGGACGUCAUAAUUUGUGAUAGAGGGAGUACGCGUUCGCGCGGCCCCUGC